GCUGGGUAUGAUGUCACAUGCCUGUAAUCCCAGGCUCAGGAGGCUGAGGUAGGAGGAUUACAAGUUCAAAGCCAGCCUCCU
rnacentral:sRNA from 1 species